GAUGAACGCUAGCGGCAGGCUUAAUACAUGCAAGUCGUGGGGCAGCAGGUUUGUAGCAAUACAGAUGCUGGCGACCGGCAAACGGGUGCGGAACACGUACAGAACCUUCCUUUGAGCGGGGAAUAGCCCAGAGAAAUUUGGAUUAAUACCCCAUAGUAUAAUGAAGUGGCAUCACUUUAUUAUUAAAGAUUUAUCACUCGAAGAUGGCUGUGCGGCUGAUUAGGUAGUUGGCGGGGUAAAGGCCCACCAAGCCUGCGAUCAGUAACUGGUGUGAGAGCACGACCAGUCACACGGGCACUGAGACACGGGCCCGACUCUUACGGGAGGCAGCAGUAAGGAAUAUUGGUCAAUGGAGGCAACUCUGAACCAGCCAUGCCGCGUGGAGGAUGAAGGUCCUCUGGAUUGUAAACUUCUUUUA
rnacentral:rRNA from 1 species